UACGUAGGGUGCAAGCGUUAAUCGGAAUUACUGGGCGUAAAGCGUGCGCAGGCGGUUGUGCAAGACAGAUGUGAAAUCCCCGGGCUCAACCUGGGAACUGCAUUUGUGACUGCACGGCUGGAGUGCGGCAGAGGGGGAUGGAAUUCCGCGUGUAGCAGUGAAAUGCGUAGAGAUGCGGAGGAACACCGAUGGCGAAGGCAGCCCCCUGGGCCAACACUGACGCUCAGGCACGAAAGCGUGGGGAGCAAACAGG
rnacentral:rRNA from 1 species